ACUAAGGUAUAAGAUGUUUUAUUUAUCUAUAAUUCAAAACAUUUCAAAAACUAGUAAAGGCGAUUAAAACUUGUUCUAUAAUACCCUAGAAGAGUACUGUGAAGGAAUAUAAUAAAUUAAUAAAAAGAAAAAAUUAAAAUUUGUACCUUUUGCAUCAUGGUUUAGCUAGAUAAUAUUUUAUAUUUAAAUUUCUCGAAAUCUAAUGAGCUAUCUUUAUUCAUUAUAUUAGAAAAUAAGGAGUAAUUGUAGCAAAAAUUUUCCUAGAAAUAAAGAUAGAAAUGAAAUUUUAUUCGUAUUAGAUGAUAGCUAGUUCUUCUAAAAGGCAUAUAAGUGCUUUGAAUUAAAUUUUAUUUUACAAUAUUAAUGUGAAACAAACUUUAGUUCAGUUAAAUUUUUGAGGAUAAGCUCGAAAAUUGUAAACUAUAUUUGCAUAUUAUUUCUUUUUAAAAUUUAGGCUUGAAAAUAGCCACAAUUUUGAUUUUGUUAUAAUUUCAUUAAAUUUAUUGAAAGACAAUUAAUUUGCUUAUGUAUAAGAGAAGAAAACUUUAAAACUAAAAUAAGUUGAAUCUAUGCUAAAAUGAGUAUUAAGUAACCUAUAAAUUUUAAAGUCUUAUAUACAUUAAAAUUAUUACUUUUCUAUUGGUUUAAAAUCAGAAAAAGGAACUCGGCAAAUACAUAUUCUGCCUGUUUAGCAAAAACAUGGCUCCUUGUUUUUAGUAUAUAGGGAGUCGGACCUGCCCGGUGAAAUUUUUUAACGGCCGCGGUACUCUGACCGUGCAAAGGUAGCAUAAUAAUUUGCCUUAUAAUUGAAGGCUAGUAUGAAUGGUUUGACAAGAAUAUAGCUGUCUCUUUCUGAUUAAAUAGAAUUUUAUUUACAGGUGAAGAAGCCUGUAUUGAAUUAAAAGACAAGAAGACCCUAUCGAGCUUUAAAAAAAUUAAUAGAUGAAAGCUCAAUAUAUUUAAAAGAUUAGCUAUUAAAAAUUUUAGUUGGGGCGACUGAGGAACAAAAAAAGCUUCCUUUAUAAAAUAAAAUCAUACAAAUACUGAUCCAAAAUAUUUUGAUUAAAGGAAUUAGUUACCGUAGGGAUAACAGCAUUAUCUUCUUUAAGAGCCCUUAUCGAAAAGAAGGUUUGUGACCUCGAUGUUGGACCAGAAUAUCCUAAAGAUGCAGCAGUCUUUAAGGGUUGGUCUGUUCGACCAUUAAAAUUCUACGUGAUCUGAGUUCAGACCGGCGUGAGCCAGGUCAGUUUCUAUCUUUAAUUUUCGAAAUAAGCUUAGUACGAAAGGACCAGCUUAU
rnacentral:rRNA from 1 species